CUUGGACGGUACCUAACCAGAAAGCCACGGGUAACUACGUGCCAGCAGCCGCGGUAAUACGUAGGUGGCAAGCGUUGUCCGGAAUUAUUGGGCGUAAAGCGCUCGCAGGCGGUCUUUUAAGUCUGAUGUGAAAGCCCACGGCUUAACCGUGGAGGGUCAUUGGAAACUGGAGCGACUUGAGUACAGAACGAGGAGAGUGGAAUUCCACGUGUAGCGGUGAAAUGCGUAGAGAUGUGGAGGAACACCAGUGGCGAAGGCGACUCUCUGGUCUGUAACUGACGCCUGAGGAGCGAAAGCCGUGGGUAGCGAACAGGAUUAGAUACCCUGGUAGUCCACGCCGUAAACGAUGAGUGCUAGGUGUAACGGGGUUUCCGCCCCUUAGUGCUGAAGUUAACGCAUUAAGCACUCCGCCUGGGGAGU
rnacentral:rRNA from 1 species